ACAAUUGUAUAUUAAUCUUUGUAUGUACAUUUUUCUUUGUAGGAAAUAUAUUUUUAUUUAUUAGAAAGCACUUCUUUCCAAGACCAAAUAAAAGCUGAAUUAGAAAAAAUAUUUAAUAAAUUGGAUACAAAAUCUUCCUGGAUGGGUCGCAAAGGCAACCUCGAAGUGAACACGCUAAUAAUUAUGGACAUUUUAAAACAAUCGACUAGAAAACACUUUCCAUUUAUGACUGAUAAAGAAUUUCAGAACUAUGUGUCACUUUGGUUAAGAUACUAAAAAAAUCGCUUCGACAGAGAAUUAACAAAGCAGCAACGACAUCAAUAAAUUUUAUAAGUUAAUAAGUUUUAUAAGUUUUUUUAUUUUAACAUAAAAAAAUCUAUAGGUACACGACAAUUGUUCGGAUUUUUUAUUAUAUUAAAAUAAUUGUUUAGCGAGUGCAAUGAUGUCAAUUAAUUGGUGGAUUGUUUAUCUUAAUUGUAGUCAUGUCAGUGAUUGUUGUUUUAUUGUCAAUUAUGUAUCAUUGUAUCUUAUAAGUUAGUUAUAUAUAUGUGUGAAUCAAGCUUGCUGAAAUAAUAAUUUAAAAAUAAUGCAUUGUUCACUGAAGAAAUAAUGAAAUCGAUUUAAAAGCAUUGUACAUUGUUGAUUUAGUGAGUAAUUAUUUAAAAAUAAAAUGUGCAUUACUCGGAUAAUGAAAAAUGCAGAACAUAAACCAUUAUGCAUUACAUUUUAAUAGAUAAUGCGAUCAGGGGGCAAUUAUCUAUUACUAAAGUAAUGGAUAAUGGAACAUGAGGACAAUUACCCAUUACUAAAGUAAUUCAUUAAAAAAUGUAAUGCAUUACUUCGGUAAUGUGAAAAAAAUAUGUCAUGCAUUAUUUCGGUAAUGAAAUCCAACAUUCUCAGUAAUAGUUUCUAUAAUGGAUGGUUUCUAUAAUAAUUGGUGGAUAAUGAAAUUAAUCUAUAAAGACUAAGGUC